AAUCUUUGACCUCAAAUCAGGUAGGAAUACCCGCUGAACUUAAGCAUAUCAAUAAGCGGAGGAAAAGAAACCAACAGGGAUUGCUUUAGUAGCGGCGAGUGAAGCGGCAAGAGCUCAAAUUUGAAAUCUGGGGCCUUUGGUCUCCGAGUUGUAAUUUGAAGAAAGUAUUUUAGAUUUGGCCUUUUUCUAAGUUCCUUGGAACAGGACUUCAUAGAGGGUGAGAAUCCCGUGUGAAGAGGUGUCCUUAUCUAUGUAAAAUGCUUUCGACGAGUCGAGUUGUUUGGGAAUGCAGCUCUAAGUGGGUGGUAAAUUCCAUCUAAAGCUAAAUAUUUGCGAGAGACCGAUAGCGAACAAGUACAGUGAUGGAAAGAUGAAAAGAACUUUGAAAAGAGAGUGAAAAAGUACGUGAAAUUGUUGAAAGGGAAGGGCUUCAGAUCAGACUUGAUGUUUAGUGAUCCAUUUUCCUUUUUGGUUGAUGCACGCACUUUUCAUUGGGCCAACAUCGAUUUGAAUGGUGGGAUAAUGCCGUUGGAAUGUAGCUUCAUUCGUGAAGUGUUAUAGACUUCGGUGAUACUGCCCAUUUGGAUCGAGGACUGCGUCUUUUGACUAGGAUGUUGGCGUAAUGAUCU
rnacentral:rRNA from 1 species